CGUUUCUCUAAUUCUCUCAAUUGCCAUUUGAAAUAACAUGUGCAAUGAGAGAAUACGGAAAAAUGAUGAAAACGAUGAUGUCUCUUAAAAUCCUGAAAUCUAUAUUUCUCCGACUGAAUAAGAAUACAGAUGAAAUUUGAGAGAAAAU